GGGGCGAGCGCAGGCGGUCUGCGGCCACCAUUGCCAUGUUGGCUUCCAGAGUUCGACUCUCUCUCGCUCCACCA
rnacentral:tRNA from 4 species